GGUCAUAUCACGUUGAAAUAAAUUCUCAUACGAUCACCAAAGUUAAGCAACAUUGAGUCUGGUCAGUACCAAGAUGAGUGACCACUUGAGAAUACCAGGUGCUGUAA